rnacentral:rRNA from 1 species
GACGAACGCUGGCGGCGUGCCUAAUACAUGCAAGUUGAGCGCUGAAGGUUGGUACUUGUACCAACUGGAUGAGCAGCGAACGGGUGAGUAACGCGUGGGGAAUCUGCCUUUGAGCGGGGGACAACAUUUGGAAACGAAUGCUAAUACCGCAUAAAAACUUUAAACACAAGUUUUAAGUUUGAAAGAUGCAAUUGCAUCACUCAAAGAUGAUCCCGCGUUGUAUUAGCUAGUUGGUGAGGUAAAGGCUCACCAAGGCGAUGAUACAUAGCCGACCUGAGAGGGUGAUAGGCCACAUUGGGACUGAGACACGGCCCAAACUCCUACGGGAGGCAGCAGUAGGGAAUCUUCGGCAACGGACGAAAGUCUGACCGAGCAACGCCGCGUGAGUGAAGAAGGUUUUCGGAUCGUAAAACUCUGUUGGUAGAGAAGAACGUUGGUGAGAGUGGAAAGCUCAUCAAGUGACGGUAACUACCCAGAAAGGGACGGCUAACUACGUG